rnacentral:rRNA from 1 species
AUUGAACGCUGGCGGCAUGCCUUACACAUGCAAGUCGAACGGCAGCACGGGGGCAACCCUGGUGGCGAGUGGCGAACGGGUGAGUAAUGCAUCGGAACGUGCCCAGUAGUGGGGGAUAACCCGGCGAAAGCCGGGCUAAUACCGCAUACGACCUACGGGUGAAAGCGGGGGACCGUAAGGCCUCGCGCUAUUGGAGCGGCCGAUGUCUGAUUAGCUAGUUGGCGGGGUAAGAGCCCACCAAGGCUACGAUCAGUAGCUGGUCUGAGAGGACGACCAGCCACACUGGGACUGAGACACGGCCCAGACUCCUACGGGAGGCAGCAGUGGGGAAUUUUGGACAAUGGGCGCAAGCCUGAUCCAGCCAUGCCGCGUGCGGGAAGAAGGCCUUCGGGUUGUAAACCGCUUUUGGCAGGAACGAAACGGCGAUCUCUAAUACGGGUCGCUAAUGACGGUACCUGCAGAAUAAGCACCGGCUAACUACGUGCCAGCAGCCGCGGUAAUACGUAGGGUGCAAGCGUUAAUCGGAAUUACUGGGCGUAAAGCGUACGCAGGCGGCUUUGCAAGACAGGUGUGAAAUCCCCGGGCCUAACCUGGGAACUGCAUUUGUGACUGCAUGGCUAGAGUUUGUCAGAGGGGGGUGGAAUUCCACGUGUAGCAGUGAAAUGCGUAGAGAUGUGGAAGAACACCGAUGGCGAAGCAGCCCCCUGGGAUAUGACUGA